rfam:Echinops telfairi cont1.406811, whole genome shotgun sequence.
CUGACUUAAACAAAGGAGGCACUUGGGGCCCCCACCACACCUAAAGCCACGCUUUGAAGGAUCUGCCAAGCUCACUUUUAAUCAUGAGAAAGAAAUUACCCACACGGAGUCAGCAGAAAAUGAGAAAGGAGAGCUCGUGCUGCGAAUAAUUCCAGCAAGUGCCAAGGGGCUAGUUGAGGAAUGGCUUCAUGAGG